rnacentral:rRNA from 1 species
AUUGAACGCUGGCGGCAGGCCUAACACAUGCAAGUCGAACGAGUGGCGGACGGGUGAGUACUGUCUGGGAAACUGCCCGAUGGAGGGGGAUAACUACUGGAAACGGUAGCUAAUACCGCAUACCAUCGGAUGUGCCUAGAUGGGAUUAGGUAGUAGGGGGGGUAACGGCUCACCUAGGCGACGAUCCCUAGCUGGUGUGAGAGGAUGACCAGCCACACUGGAACUGAGACACGGUCCAGACUCCUACGGGAGGCAGCAGUGGGGAAUAUUGCACAAUGGGCGAAAGCCUGAUGCAGCCAUGCCGCGUGUAUGAAGAAGGCCUUCGGGUUGUAAAGUACUUUCAGCGAGGAAGCGUUACUCGCAGAAGAAGCACCGGCUAACUCCGUGCCAGCAGCCGCGGUAAUUC